CCGGUGGGACGACCCGCCCCGACGCGGGAGGGGAGGUGCGAUCCGCCCGCCGCGCCCGGACCCGCCGCGCUGUCUCGCGAGAUGAGAUUGGCCCGAUCCGCCCGGCCGGGGCGGGGGAGUGCAGGGGAUUGGCCGGCACCGCGCGCUCCCAUUGGGCAGGAUGGGAUGGGAUGGGAGCGGCGCGCGGCGCGGCAGCCGUUGGGGCCGGUAGGGGGAGUCCGGCAGCGCGAGUCCGGUACUGUGAGUCCGGCACAGUGCGGCUUCGGCUCGGGAGGGGAGUGCUCAGCGAAGGGGGAGAGGGGGGAAAGCUUGGGGCUGUGCCCACUGCCCUGGGCAGCCUGUACCAUGCCCACCGCCCUUUGGUGCAGAACCUUUCCCUAACCCCCAGCUGCCCCUCCCCUGACGGCUCCAUUCCGUUCCCUUGGGCCCUGUUCCCACCUGCCACCGCGCGUGGAGCAGAGACUGGCUGUGGUAGACUGGCUGUGGUUCGUGCUGAGGAAGGAGGACUUGGAAGGCCCUGAAAGCAGACGCUGCUUCUGUGGUCUGAUUCAUGUAGUAGCAGUGACUGCGUUCCCUCAGAUGAGCACCUCCAGGCUGCACAGCCCAGAAGACCCUGGCUUUCUAGUGAGCCGUUCUGGUAUAACGCCGAGGAACAGAAAAUGCACUGUGGGCACUCGGGGAAAAAAAUACUGAUGAAGGAGCAACGAAAAAGACAGCAUUAGAGAGGCAAAAGAAAAAAGUGGCAAAGGAGUUCAACUCUUCAAUUCAAAACAUAAGAUGAGACCACCAGUGCAGAAACAGAUUUAUUAUUCCUGGAGCAAUCAACAAUGUUGGCAUGCUAACAAUGCCUAAAAGCCUUCCUGAGUAACUAUGUGAGAUGACAUCUUCGCUUGUUCAUCAGACCUUGAAGAUGCCAAGUGAUUCUUGGACGUAACUCGAAGAACAUUUAAGAAACACCCCAAAUACCAUUUUACAGUGGCUUCGAACUGAGGAGUCCUGGAAGGAAAGGAGUAAAGCAGGAUCUGAUGGUUUUAGUGAGAAGGUGCUUGGUGAGAUGCAGGAUGGUGGUUUCUGUUCUGGUCCUGUGCCAGGAACAAUGCAAGCAAUGACAGUCAGGUAUGAAAGCAUAAAAAUGUAUGUGUGUGGGGACUAGAAAUCUGUUGUCCCUCUUGCCUGUUUAAACUCCCAGCCAUUGGGAGAGUCCCUUCUUCUCAUUCUUUCCCUUUAGGAAGAACAUUUCAGAAUUUUAGAAAGGAACCUCUCUUUCUCUCCAGUGAAUAUAAUUGUGUGUGUGCAUACUUACUCAUUUAAAAGCACAUACAGACAUUUAAAUAUUAGACCAAAAGUUUUUCAUUAUAAAUCCAUACCAGAUAGAGAAGAAGUAGGUUUGAGUAUCUGAUGAUGUGAUGCUUUUCCAAGUGACAUUUGGUCAGAAGGAGGCUUGGAAAUGCUAAUUUUUAAACAUGCUUUUAGGACCUAGUACAGUCCUUUUGCUCAAGAGGGUAAAAUAUAUUUUAGAUGCAUUACAGAGCAUUGUUGUAUAAUGAUAUUUAUAGCCUAGACGAAGAGAGAACCUUAAAUUGCAAAUGUAUCUAAAAAGUAUUUGAUGAUUUUGCUUUCCUCCAGCAGUGUAGCUCCACUGAUUUGUCUGUAUCAGUUUUGUCUCAUCCAUGUUGUAAUGUUCCCGUUUAUUUCCUACACCUAGUGAGCUCCUUGCAGGGCUUCCUUUCCAACUGCCUACAAAGUUGCUCUUGCGGCUGUCUCUAAUUGUGCUGCACUUCCUCAAAACAUCUCCUUAUUCAUCCCAUCUCCCAUUUUCUGUUGAAAGCUUUUAAAUGCAUUUUAAUGAUGCAUAACAGCAACAUAAUGAGCCUAAUAGCAUCCUAUUGAUUUUCAUCUGCAACACUGGCAUUCGAACAUUUCAAUAGCGUUUUAACAGUGUGUAUAUUUAAUGUGAUUCAAAGACAAGGCAAAUGCACCACAAUAUUUACUUGCUAAAAAAAACCUCCUCUAUCUCUUACCUACUGAAUCCUCCCUCCGUCCUCCCCCACAAUCUGUUUGUUGCAAUCAGCUGCAUUAGAAGUAUUUCAUUUUCAGUGUCUUAAAACAAGCAAGCCAUAAUCCUUGGGACAAGGAAGUAAAAGGGAAAAACAACAGGUCACCGUAUCUGCACGUAUCUUUGUUUAUCUCCUGUGGUCACAGUGAAGAUAUUAAUGAUGCAGACCCAGUCAGUGCUGUCGGUGAAUGCAGUGUUUUAACUGCAGAGUGAAGAAAGCUGCUCCAGGAUACUCUCUAGAUAGGAGUUAGCUGAGUUAUGGAACACACUAGCUCAGGCUAAGAAAAACAAACAGAAAAAUGAAACUGGCAAAUAUACACAUCACUAUAAGAUAAGAUAACCAUUCCCUUUUGCUGAAUAACUCGGUAGUUACACCCUGCAGAGAGCACUGCUUUCGGGAAGAGUUUCUGUGUAUUCUGUGAGCAAGAUGUGAAGCAGCCAUUCAGUUCACUCAAGUGCCACCUGCAUGUGUGACCACUUGGAGGUAAUGCUAACAGCAGUAUUGACAAGCUGCACCACCCACACAUACAGACACCAGAUGGCUGUGCUGCCAUUCAACAGGACCUGGACAGACCUGUGAGUUGGGCAGAGAGGAACCUGAUGAGGUUCAACAAGGGCAAGUGUAGGAUCCUGCACCUGGGAAGAAAUAACAGCAUGCAUCAGUACAGAUAAGGGGCUGACCUGCUGGAAAGGAGCUCUGUGGAGAAGGACUUAGGUGUUCCAGUGAACAACAGUUUGGCCAUGAUCCAGCAGUGUGCCCUUGUGAGGUCGCAUCUGGAGUACUGUGGCCCCCCAGUUCAAGAAAGACAGGGAACUUCUUGAGAGAAUCCUGUGGAGACCUGCAAAGGAGAUGAGGGGCCUGGAGUAUCUCCUGUAUUGAGGAAAGGAUGAGAGACCUGCGUUCUGUUCAGCCUGGAGAAGAGAAGGCUGAGAGGGGACCUCAUCACUGUUUAUAAAUACCUAAAGGGUGGGAGUCACAUCAGUGGGACCAGACUCUUUUUGGUGGUGUGCAGUGUCAGUUAUAAGCAGAGAUGCUAUUUUUCCAGGGCUGUGAUGUGCUUUAUUUGAAACUGUUUAUAACAAAUGAAUAAAAGUGAAA